GAUGAACGCUGGCGGCGUGCCUAAUACAUGCAAGUCGAGCGAACGGACGAGAAGCUUGCUUCUCUGAUGUUAGCGGCGGACGGGUGAGUAACACGUGGAUAACCUACCUAUAAGACUGGGAUAACUUCGGGAAACCGGAGCUAAUACCGGAUAAUAUUUUGAACCGCAUGGUUCAAAAGCGAAAGACGGUCUUGCUGUCACUUAUAGAUGGAUCCGCGCUGCAUUAGCUAGUUGGUAAGGUAACGGCUUACCAAGGCAACGAUGCAUAGCCGACCUGAGAGGGUGAUCGGCCACACUGGAACUGAGACACGGUCCAGACUCCUACGGGAGGCAGCAGUAGGGAAUCUUCCGCAAUGGGCGAAAGCCUGACGGAGCAACGCCGCGUGAGUGAUGAAGGUCUUCGGAUCGUAAAACUCUGUUAUUAGGGAAGAACAUAUGUGUAAGUAACUGUGCACAUCUUGACGGUACCUAAUCAGAAAGCCACGGCUAACUACGUG
rnacentral:rRNA from 1 species